rnacentral:misc_RNA from 1 species
AGAGAGAGAGAGAGAGAGCAUAAAAGAGGACCAAGUAGGGCAACAACAAGCAUCCAAAACAUGAUAUGACAUAAGGCCUAUAAAAUCACCAUAUAGAGGGAAUCACUUCUUUUACAUCCCAUAUUUUGCGAAUAGGAAUGGCAGGUUGGGGCGGGGAUCACUUCUUUCUCCCGGCCCCAUAGAGGUUUGGUGUCUGGACAAGAACUUCCUCAAUAGAAAAAGGGGUGGAGUGGAUUUUUCUAUAGGGAUUUUUUUUCUUUUUAUUUUUUUUUCUUAUCUUUUCUAUGCU